rnacentral:rRNA from 1 species
CCUACGGGAGGCAGCAGUGAGGAAUAUUGGUCAAUGGGCGUAAGCCUGAACCAGCCAAGUCGCGUGAGGGAUGAAGGUUCUAUGGAUCGUAAACCUCUUUUAUAAGGGAAUAAAGUGUGGGACGUGUCCUGUUUUGUAUGUACCUUAUGAAUAAGGAUCGGCUAACUCCGUGCCAGCAGCCGGGGUAAUACGGAGGAUACGAGCGUUAUCCGGAUUGAUUGGGUUUAAAGGGUUCGUAGGCGGCCUUUUAAGGCAGCGGUGAAAGUCUGUGGCUCAACCAUAGAAUUGCCGUUGAUACUGGGAGUCUUGAGUAUAUUAGAGGCAGGCGGAAUGCGUGGUGUAGCGGUGAAAUGCUUAGAUAUCACGCAGAACCCCGAUUGCGAAGGCAGCCUGCCAAGCCAUGACUGACGCUGAUGCACGAAAGCGUGGGGAUCAAACAGGAUUAGAUACCCCAGUAGUC